rnacentral:lncRNA from 1 species
AGGCACUGUGCUAAGCUCUUGAGAUACAAAAAGAGGCAAAAGAGAGUCCCAGCCCUCAAGAAGCUUACAAUCUAAAAGGAGAGACAAUAAAAAAUAAGUUAUAUAUAGGAUGUGCUAGUGCUCAUCCUUCAUUUUCAAAGAGGUCCAAUGACAUCACAGGGUGCUUUCUUGAGUUGUGUGUGAGUUGGAUUUAAAUGAAGCAGAGUUGCACACAGUCAUGGGCCUCCCUCAUUUUCUCUUCCAGAAUCAUCAAAGUCCACUGGCAAGACAAAAGUCAGGACGACUGGUGAUGGUCCAGGAUGUGGUGGAUGGCUUCUUUGAUGUAUGACCAGAUUCUAAUAGCUGCAUGGCUCCUGAUUUGGCCACCUUCCUGGUGUUGAAUCACAUUGUUCUCAGCCACCCAUUCUGUCAGGGUAAGUCUUCACAUGCUUGGAGUAGACAUCCCCUAACUCACUGAUGGGUUUGAGGUCUGUUGGUUACCUCCAACCUGGUUUAGCUCAUCUGCUGAAAACAGUUCUACAGAGGUGUGUCUGCUAUGAGUGCUAUAGUUUUUUGGAGCCACAGGGGAGAAUUGAGUAAAAGGUGGACACCACAGUUAUAUAAACAGCCCUGACGAAAGGGCUCAGCAAGUCCUUACAAAGAAGAUCCUAGCCUUUCCUGAAAACAUUUCUAUAGAAUAAACAGGUAAUAAUUAAAAGAGUGAAAGUCCUGGAAUUAAGGGCAGUUAGGGAAACCUUCUUGUAGAAGGCAGAACUUUAGUUGGGACUUAAAGGAAACCAUAGAGAUCAGCAGAUAGAACAUUCUAGGUAUGGGGGACAACCAGAGAAAAGACCUGGAGCAGAGAAAUGGAGUGUCUUGCUCUUGGAGCAAGAAAGAAGCCAAUGUCACUGGAUCAAGGAGUACCUGCUGGGAGUAUGUUUCCCCCAGAAGGUCACUCUGUAGGAGUCUGAGAUCAAGUCCACUGAUUGCUUCUGAUAAUCUACUCUUGGAAGAGGACUGUCCAGCAGUCUCCCCUGGGAGCUAGCCUCCCCACCACCUAAGAUACAGAAAAAGCAUGGAUGCAUUACGACUUUUGAAAUGAAGAAAUUAAAAAAUGUCCUUCCACCCAUCAGCCAGAGCUUUGAAAUCUCUCUCUCCUGGGUUCCACAUGC